UCUCCGUUGGUGAACUAGCGGAGGGAUCAUUACCGAGUUUACAACUCCCAAACCCCUAUGUGAACGUUACCAAACUGUUGCCUCGGCGGGAAAUUCAUGCCCCGGGCGCGUCGCAGCCCCGGUCCAAGGCGCCCGCCGGAGGACCAACCAAAACUCUUUUGUAUGUCCCUCGCGGACUUUUAUAAUUCUGAACCAUCUCGGCGCCCCUAGCGGGCGUUUCGAAAAUGAAUCAAAACUUUCAACAACGGAUCUCUUGGUUCUG
rnacentral:misc_RNA from 1 species